rnacentral:rRNA from 1 species
GACGAACGCUGUUGGCGUGCCUAACACAUGCAAGUCGAGCGAAGUGAGUACUACGGUACGAACUUAGCGGCGGACGGGUGAGUAACGCGUGGACAAUCUACCCUGUAGACUGGGAUAACACCUCGAAAGGGGUGCUAAUACCGGAUAAUGUCGAGAAGCGGCAUCGCUUUUCGAAGAAAGGAGAGAAUCCGCUAUAGGAGGAGUCCGCGUCCCAUUAGCUAGUUGGUGAGGGUAACGGCCCACCAAGGCGACGAUGGGUAGCCAGCCUGAGAGGGUGAACGGCCACACUGGAACUGAGACACGGUCCAGACUCCUACGGGAGGCAGCAGUGGGGAAUAUUGUGCAAUAGGGGAAACCCUGACACAGCAACGCCGCGUGAGCGAAGAAGGCCUUCGGGUUGUAAAGCUCAAUAGUAUGGGAAGAUAAUGACGGUACCAUACGAAAGCCCCGGCUAACUACGUGCCAGCCGCCGCCGUAAUAC